rnacentral:rRNA from 1 species
CCCGGAAGGACGACCAGUGGCGAAAGCGUUUAACUAGAACGAAUCUGACGGUAAGGAACGAAGGCUAGGGUAGCAAACCGGAUUAGAUACCCGGGUAGUCCUAGCUGUAAACAUUGCCCAUUUGAUGUUGCUUUUCCGUUGAGGGAAGGCAGUGUCGGAGCGAAGGUGUUAAAUGGGCCGCUUGGGAAGUAUGGUCGCAAGACUGAAACUUAAAGGAAUUGGCGGGGGAGCACCGCAACGGGAGGAAUGUGCGGUUUAAUUGGAUUCAACGCCGGAAAACUCACCGGGAACGACCUGUGCAUGAGAGUCAACCUGACGAGCUUACUCGAUAGCAGGAGAGGUGGUGCAUGGCCGUCGUCAGCUCGUACCGUAGGGCGUUCACUUAAGUGUGAUAACGAGCGAGACCCACAUCUUUAAUUGCGAAUGUAUAUGAGAAUAUGCAUGCACUUUAGAGAAACCGCCAGCGCUAAGCUGGAGGAAGGAGUGGUCGACGGCAGGUCAGUACGCCCCGAAUUUCCCGGGCUACACGCGCAUUACAAAGAACGGGACAAUACGUUGCAACCUCGAAAGAGGAAGCUAAUCGCGAAACCCGUCCAUAGUUAGGAUUGAGGGCUGUAACUCGCCCUCAUGAAUCUGGAUUCCGUAGUAAUCGCGGGUCAACAACCCGCGGUGACAU